AUAGCGUAUAUUAAAGUUGUUGCAGUUAAAAAGCUCGUAGUUGAACUUCGAACGUGGCUGGGCGGUCCGCCUCACGGUGUGUACUGUCUGGCUGUGUUCUCUUUCUUGGUGAGCCGGCAUGCCCUUAAUUGGGUGUGUUGGGGAACCAGGACGUUUACCUUGAGAAAAUUAGAGUGUUCAAAGCAGGCCUUUGCCCGAAUACAUUAGCAUGGCAUAAUAAAAUAGGACGUGCGGUUCUAUUUUGUUGGUUUCUAGAGUCGCCGUAAUGAUUAAUAGGGAUAGUUGGGGGCAUUAGUAUUCCGUUGCUAGAGGUGAAAUUCUUGGAUUUACGGAAGACUAACUUCUG
rnacentral:rRNA from 2 species